GCCGGGCAUGGUGGUGCAUGCCUGUGGUCCCAGCUACUCGGAAGGCUGAGGUGGGAGGAUCGCUUGAGCCCAGGAGUUUAAGGCUGCAGUGAGCCAUGAUUGUGCCACUGCACUCCAGCCUGGGCUAUAGAGCGAGACCCUGUCUCAA
rfam:Nomascus leucogenys chromosome 3, whole genome shotgun sequence.